GUUUACGGCCAUACCACUGAUAAAGCACCAGUUCUCGUCCGAUCACAGAACUUAAAGUCAGUAGGGCACGGUUAGUACUUGGACGGGUGACCGCCUGAAAUACCGUGUGCUGUAGGCA
rnacentral:rRNA from 2 species